CAAGCACAGUUCUAGGCACAUGGCAAGCCAAGACGAAACGGCGGCGGUUUCUAUUGUUAGCAUGGGAAUGGUGUUCUGGGACUCUUGAGCAAGCCCUGGGAAUGCAGCAUGAGGUGAAAACCAGCAAUGCAGGGAAGAGAGAAGAGGGAAGAGAAGGGAGCUCCUGGCUCCUCUGGAACCCCAAACUUUGCCUCCAGCAGUUCAGAUGCUGGGUGCUCACAGAGGGUACAAGGAAGUGUUGAAGCCCCUGGGCCUGAAGUUGCAGAUGGUUGUGAGCCACCCUAUGGAUGCUGGAAAUUGAACCCAGGUCCUCUGCAAGGUCAGUAUUCUUAACCACUGGGCCACCUCUCUACUUAUCAUCGAGCAGUGUCUAGGGAUCCUUUUGUCUUGGCCUCCUCAGCACUGGGAUUGUAGGUGCUAUCAGAGCAUCUGGCUUUUACGUGGUGCUGGGGAUCCAAGUCCAGGCAGAUCCUUGUGCGUGGCGAGCAUUUUACCAGCGUCCAUCCCCCUCCCACCCUGCCCGUCUUCCCUGCUUUGCAAAGAACAGAGACUCCAGUGCUGCAGGGCUGUGUAGGAAUGGGCAUCGGGCUUGU